UACGAAGGGGGCUAGCGUUGUUCGGAAUCACUGGGCGUAAAGGGCGCGUAGGCGGCCCGCUAAGUCGAACGUGAAAUCCCCAGGCUCAACCUGGGAACUGCGUCCGAUACUGGCAGGCUUGAAUCCGGGAGAGGGAUGUGGAAUUCCAGGUGUAGCGGUGAAAUGCGUAGAUAUCUGGAGGAACACCGGUGGCGAAGGCGGCAUCCUGGACCGGUAUUGACGCUGAGGCGCGAAAGCUAGGGGAGCAAACGGG
rnacentral:rRNA from 1 species